rnacentral:misc_RNA from 1 species
CCCGAAUUAGAGUUUCUCUGUUUUGCCAAAAAAACUCAGAAUUACAAACCCUAAUCUCACUCCAGCUCAGAAAGAGUGUUGGUGUGUAGGCCCUGCUGAAGAGUUUGAGCUUGGGGAAGCUGGAGAGACAGAGGGAGGAGAGAUGGACGCGAUGAGGAAACAGCUGGAUGUGCUCAUGGGAGCCAAUCGGAACGGCGACGUUACGGAGGUGAAUCGCAAGUACUACGAUCGUGAUGUGUGUCGCAUGUACUUGGUUGGCCUUUGCCCCCAUGAACUCUUCCAAUUAACGAAAAUGGAUAUGGGGCCAUGUCCUAAGGUCCAUUCACUGCAGCUGAGGAAAGAAUAUGAAGAGGCAAGGGCAAAGGGUAUUGAUAACUAUGACAGAGAGUUGGAGGAUGUUAUAGAUCGCCUCAUUGUUGAGUGUGAUAAAAAAAUCAGCAGAGCUCUUAAGCGUCUUGAGGCUGAGGAUGCAAAGGCUGCUAUUGCAAUAUCGGUCUCUGAGGUCACACAGUCACCAGAGAUAAUUGAGUUAUCAAAGCAGAUCAAGGAGAAGUUGAAAGAAGCUGAUAAAUAUGAUCUUGAAGGCAAGACAGAUUUUAAGAUUCAAGCUCUGGAAGAGGUGGAAAAACUUAGAAGUGAAAGAGCAGAGAAGCAGUCUGCACUACUUUUGGAAGCCUUCAACAAAGAUAGGGCGUCUUUGCCUCAACCCUUGCCAAACCCACCUCCAUUGGCACCCUUGCCUGUACCCACUCCUGAUCCUCGUACCCAGGAAAUGAUUAAUGAGAAGCUGAAGAAGGCAGAGGAUCUUGGUGAGCAAGGAAUGGUAGAUGAGGCUCAAAAGGCUUUGGAAGAGGCCGAGGCACUUAAGAAGCUUCCUGCCAGGCAAGAGCCUACGUUGGAUUCCUCCAAGUAUACUGCUGCUGAUGUCCGCAUUACUGAUCAGAAGUUGCGUGUUUGUGACAUUUGUGGAGCCUUUUUGAGCGUAUAUGACAGGUAUAAUUUAAUCUUAUCUCUCCAAAUAUGUAUAGUUUUUUUAUUUUUCCUGAGGGAAACAAAAGAAUUUGUAUUUGGGGUUUCAAGUGGUUCAGCUUUUGAUCCAACUAUUAUACCUCCUUGUUACCAGCAGGCUUUUGGGCCCAGUUUUACGAGGAUAACUUUUGCAGCUAAAGAAUGUGCGUCUUUUUCUGUUUUAUAUGCUGGCAGAUCAUGAUAUAGUUAGAAAAUUAUGGGGCAACUUACUAUACAUGUACUUAUCUUUCGCCUUUUUUGGAGCCCAAAGCAUUUUGAUCUUUGUUUCUGCUUUCAGCGAUCGACGUUUAGCAGACCAUUUUGGAGGGAAGCUUCAUCUAGGCUAUAUGCAAAUCCGUGAGAAACUCACUGAGCUUCAGGUAUGGAAAUACAAGUAGUUGCUUUAUCAUAUACUUUUAGCUGAUUCAUUUUCUUACUUAGGUUGUUGUCUUUGUAGAAAAUGGUUAAGCAGGGAUUGCAGAAAAGGAAUGUAGUGAAAAUACUGAAAAUUCAUCAUAUCCUUAGUUGAUUUCUCAUUUUCCAUCAGUUAAUAUAUGAUUAUAAUUUUUUCCCAUUUGAAGGAAAUGGCUCAAACUGAUGGAUUGUGUUAAGUGGGAUAAAUCUAUUGUUUGACCUAUCCUGUCUUUUGGAAGUCCUUAAGUUGGUCUUGUGGUUAUGUUGGUUCUGGUGCUUGUAUAAUGUUUCACAUUAUCCUAUAUAGAUUCCCUGUUAGUAUGCAUCUGUGUGUUUUUCUUACCCGGAGAAGAAUAAUUUCUUAAUUUCCCCCUUUUUAGAUUUGACAGAUGUUGGACUUUAAGACAGAAAUAACUAUGUAAAAAAAAAUUGUCUUAUUCAUAUUGGUGGUGACACUAACCAUGCAUCAUAUCCAGUCUGAUAACUGUCAAUGCAUGUCAUGCAAUACUAGAAAGUGCUUCCUCUUCUAAUUUUGCCAGGGUGGGCAAAGGAUCAUCUGUUAUGUGCAGCCUGAUUGUGUGGGUUAGAACUAAUUAAGGGUCCCAAUCAUACUGUUUAAAUACAAGCUGGCUUCCUUGAAGGUUGUGCUGUAUUCAAAAGAUUGUCAUGAAUACAUUUUGUUGAAUUCAUUCUAGAACUUGGUUGGCAAUGUUGAUUUGUUAUCGGCAUUAGAAAUUUCUUUGAGAUGUCUGAUUCUGAAAGUCUUGUGCAAUUUAGCAUCUAAGGUGGAAUAAUAGGAAAUCGAGAGGGGAAAAUACUACAAAAAGACCUAGUAACUUAAAUCCUCUUGAUGUAUUUUAAGGCCAAUUGCUUUUGAAUUUGUGCAGAUUACUUUUUGUGUGCAUGCGUGUGUAUCAACAGUUGCAUGUAUGUGUUGUUGAGAAAGGAGAGUUUGUUUGGAUGCUGUGUAGAGGAAGAGAGAAACAAGCUCCUCAAAGGUGAUCGGUGUGAUGAUCGAAGAUCAAAAGAGCGAAGUAGAGACCGUGAAAGAGAAUCAAACAAGGAAAGAGAUCGGGGAGAUAGCCGUGACCGGGAGAGGGACCAUGAUCGUAGGAGCAGAGAUCGUGACAGGCAUUAUGAUCGAGAUCGUGGAUAUGAUCGGGACCGUGAUAGAGAUUCUGAUCGUUCCCGUUGCCGUAGUUAUGAUUCAAGAAGUCGCCACAGGUCGCGCUCUCGGUCUAGAGAACGUUCUAGGGACUAUGAUCGUCACAGGUAUUCUUUCACCCUAGUGCUUGCUGAUCAUUAGAGCUUCCACAUAUUUUGAGCAGUUUGCACUGGCCUUAUACCUUUAUCCUAAUUUUUAUCUUUUUUUCAGAAUACUCCCAAGUAUGUUCGUGUUUUACAUGUGAGAAUGAUGACAUUGGAGUUUUAGCCAAUUGUGAUGCAUUUGUGUUGUGACAUUAGGAAAUAACAUUGAAUUAUUUUUAAUUGAAAAUAUUAAAUAAUUAUGCUUUUUGCCUUUUUUCAAUGUGCGAGGAGAAAGAUUCUUGUCACCAUUAAAAUAGAAGUGGCUUUUAAUCAAGUGAAACUCAAGUCUGUUCUUAAAGUCCUUUAUUUCCCUGCAUCUCAGAAACGAGAACCCUUCUUCUGCUGCUGCUUCAAUUAAAUUUGUUAGCAUGUUUUAAAUCAGGAUAGUAAUUAAUAUAACAUUAUAUGCUACAAAUGAACACUUCUUAAUCAUUGAAUUAAAAAUGGUAGCAUGUGGUAACAACAUCAUUGAUAUAAUCUAUUCCUAGGUCUUUGGUGCUUAGUUUUAGUAGGCAGUUUUGAGGAUUGUUCAUUUUUCUAAUUCGUUAUUAAUCACUUUAUUAUUCAACUCAUCAGCAGGCGCCAUGAUCGGUACUAGGACGGUUGCUGUGGAGUGUUUUGGUAUGGAAGUAUGCACUUUUUUUUUUUUUUAAUUUAAUUACCUAGGUCAAUGAAGUUGUGGAGAAAAGAAUGAUUUUAUGUACUUGUUCUGAUAAUUUUAGUGGAGUUUGAUAGUAUGUGGAAUUUGGGUGCAUAGAUUUUCUUGACAUGUGUGUAUGUUUAAGAGGUAAGCUUUUACAAUGUUUUAUCUAAUUUUCAUGUUCAGUUAACCCUCAAAACUCUGCUCAAGUUUAUCUUACCUGAACUGAUAUCCUUGUUCAGAAUGGUUAUCCUUGUGGACUGCUACUUUUUGUUUAAAAAAUUAUUUUUUUAAUCGGGCUGGUUCCUAUUUGGAACCACCAGUUUUGAGCUAGUGUUGGUUCAGGUUUAAGGAGAAGUGACGGAACCGGCCUUUUAUACCCCAAUUUUUGGUUGGUUCAUGAAUCGGAACCAUUGUUCCUAUCUAAUUGAUAGUUUGAACCGGCCUGUAACCGGUCUAAGUGUAAGUACUGGGGAUUUGUAUGUUAAAUAGAGCAAAUGAAGUGAAAAUAGUACGGUUUUCUGGUUGAAAACGAUGCCAUUGAAAUUGUUCAGUAAAAAUAGUAGAUUAUUAGGAGGUUGAUUCAGGGGAAUCUCGUUAAAAUAAGCCUUCACAUGUGGGCUUAUUGCUUCUCCAACCUUUAUCCAAAACCUAAUCAUUAGCUAAACAACUCUUUUUAUCUAUAAAGUACUUCUCAGUUUUAGUUAACAUAAUAUAUGUAUAAAUGAUAAUUUGUUUAAUGGUGAAAGGGAAGGUAUCGACUGCAGUCAUUCUUUUUGUUGUUAACAAAAUUGACUAAUUGCAGAGAUAAAUCCUAUGGGGCAAGU